rnacentral:rRNA from 1 species
AGCGAACGCUGGCGGCAGGCCUAAUACAUGCAAGUCGAGCGCCCUUUCGGGGGAGCGGCGGACGGGUGAGUAACGCGUGGGAACGUGCCCUUUGGUACGGAACAACUGAGGGAAACUUCAGCUAAUACCGUAUGUGCCCUUCGGGGAAAGAUUUAUCGCCAUUGGAGCGGCCCGCGUUGGAUUAGGUAGUUGGUGAGGUAAAGGCUCACCAAGCCUACGAUCCAUAGCUGGUCUGAGAGGANGAUCAGCCACACUGGGACUGAGACACGGCCCAGACUCCUACGGGAGGCAGCAGUAGGGAAUCUUGCGCAAUGGGCGAAAGCCUGACGCAGCCAUGCCGCGUGAAUGAUGAAGGUCUUAGGA